rnacentral:RNase_P_RNA from 1 species
GAAGCUGACCAGACAAUCGCCGCUUUAUUGCCGUCCUCCUUCGGGGGAGACAGAUAAAGGGGAGGAAAGUCCGGGCUCCAUAGGGCAGGGUGCCAGGUAACGCCUGGGAGGCGCAAGCCUACGACCAGUGCAACAGAGAGCAAACCGCCGAUGGCCUCUCUUUGAGAGGAUCAGGUAAGGGUGAAAGGGUGCGGUAAGAGCGCACCGCGCGACUGGUAACAGUUCGUGGCACGGUAAACUCCACCCGGAGCAAGGCCAAAUAGGGGUUCACCAGGUACGGCCCGUACUGAACCCGGGUAGGCUGCUUGAGCCAGUGAGCGAUUGCUGGCCUAGAUGAAUGAUUGUCCUCGACAGAACCCGGCUUACCGGUCAGCUUCAACU